UGGGUCAGUUUUGAAAGUAAUCACUGUGAACAAGAUUUCCCCUGAAGUAGGAAAAAUAGUAGCAGAGAAGAGUUGCAAAGUGUCAGGAAGAAAAGAUUAAUUUUAUCAUUGCUCUUUUCAUAUAUAUUUAAAAUAAUUAUCUAAAUAAACCUUCUUU